rnacentral:rRNA from 1 species
UACGAAGGGGGCUAGCGUUGCUCGGAAUCACUGGGCGUAAAGGGCUCGUAGGCGGCCAACUAAGUCAUACGUGAAAUCCCUCGGCUUAACCGGGGAACUGCGUCUGAUACUGGAUGGCUUGAGUUCGGGAGAGGGAUGCGGAAUUCCAGGUGUAGCGGUGAAAUGCGUAGAUAUCUGGAGGAACACCGGUGGCGAAGGCGGCAUCCUGGACCGAUACUGACGCUGAGGAGCGAAAGCGUGGGGAGCAAACAGG